rnacentral:pre_miRNA from 1 species
UCUUAUGGAUGAGCAAAGUAAGUUAUUUCUUAAGAUAGACUCUACUUCUUGUGAAGAUACUGUGAA